GGGAAAAUGAAGGGAGGUAUUCGCUAUUGAGUUGAGAUUUGAAACUAUCAACCCUUGCCGAACUACGGAUUCGUUUUCGACAGCAAGGUCUUGUUCUGUGGAAUUCGAAGUAAAAAUAUGAUUGACGGCAUAGAGUGAAAGUAGAGAUGAAGCUUAAAGGACAGAGAAUUGACUAACUGGAGGACACACUGGUUGGAUGGAUCAAGCUUCAAGAGUGAAAAGGGCACAGUGCCAGUUGGAAUUUCCAGACGAAUCCGGUGACUCGAGGACGUAGUAGUCACUGAUAAAGAUUCCUAAUGCCUUUAUUCUGACAAGCGUCUGGUACCAAUGUCUUGUGUGCAUUAUACAUUAACAAGGUGCAACUAGACUGACAAAGGCAGUUGUAGAUGUUCCAUUUGCUGUGAAACUGGAAGGAACCUUUCAGACUGGUAGAACUUUAUUCUUGCACAAAAAGAGGACAGACUUUGCAGUGGAUCUGUAUAUAGAAUCUGAAUCAAUUAAGUGAGAUUUUGUCCACGGCUCGAACAUGUGUAAUAUCAGAAAACGCAUUAUCAGUUCUGGGAAAUAUAGUUUAUGUAAGGUUUGUACAACCUGCAUAUUAUUUAGGCUUUGUAAAAAUUGUAAUUUUUAAAAAGCUUGGAGACGGAGCUAUUCAAUUUAGUUAGGCUUUGUUAAUUGUAGGAAGUAUAAUUUGUUUAGGUUUUGUGGGAAAUGCAAUUUAUUUGGACCCUGUAGAAAGGUAUUUUCUUACCUGUUUUUGUAUGCACUUUACGAAAUAGUAUUUUUGUUU